rnacentral:lncRNA from 1 species
CAGGAUACACAAACAUACAUGAUGCACCUCUGGUUUAAUUAUGCAAGGCAUGGCACAUCACAACAAUCGAAUACUACACAUUAUGUGAAUCUCCAUAUGCAGCGAGUUGCAUAUUGACGAAACUCCACAUUCAUCUAUUUAUUUCACUCCCGUCUACGUACUCAACAAUAUUAAAUGUUGUUUAAACAUGGCAAGAGGUGAAGUAUAAAUAAACUACACUAUCUAGGCAUUUUAAAUGAGGUUGCAAACACUUACAGUAUUUCCGUAAUGACCCCAUAUGUUAUUUUCGAAAUCUGUUCAGAUCUGAUCUAAACAUAUUUUAUAUUUAUUAAACAGCAAAAUAAAGUGGGCCAUGUGAUUAUACACGUCAUUCUAAUUGGUUUACAUAUAUAGAACAUUCGAAAUGAAGCUACGGUUUAAAAGAUAUGAGCAACACAAGAUGACACGAUAAGAAUGCAACAUGUAUGCAAAUAUCAGCUACAAGCAUGAUAAAACAUGGAUGCACAAGAUAAUAUGAAGCUACAUGGAUAUCUAGGCAAGUUUAAAUGAGGCCGGAGCAACGAAUAACAAUUCCGAAAAUUACCCAUAUGUAAUUCUGAAUUUGCUACACAAUUUUAGAGUUGUUAAACAAGAAAAUAAAUGCUACCAUGUUAUUCUACACAUUUUUCUAUCCAAGUUACAUAUGUGCAACAUUUUAAUGAGAGAUACGGUUAAUUAGGUAUGACAUAAACUGUUCCUGCAUGGCAUUUAUGCAAAAUAAAUGAAAACAAAAAGUUAAUAUUUUUUUAACAUGAAUUCAAG